rnacentral:rRNA from 1 species
GAACGGUGACGAGGAGCUUGCUCCUCCGAUCAGUGGCGAACGGGUGAGUAACACGUGAGCAACCUGCCCCUCACUCUGGGAUAACAGUUGGAAACAGCUGCUAAUACCGGAUACGACACAGACAGGCAUCUGUACUGUGUGGAAAGUUUUUCGGUGAGGGAUGGGCUCGCGGCCUAUCAGUUUGUUGGUGGGGUAAUGGCCUACCAAGACGACGACGGGUAGCCGGCCUGAGAGGGCGACCGGCCACACUGGGACUGAGACACGGCCCAGACUCCUACGGGAGGCAGCAGUGGGGAAUAUUGCACAAUGGGCGAAAGCCUGAUGCAGCGACGCCGCGUGAGGGAUGACGGCCUUCGGGUUGUAAACCUCUUUCAGCAGGGAAGAAGCGAAAGUGACGGUACCUGCAGAAGAAGCACCGGCUAACUACGUGCCAGCAGCCGCGGUAAUACGUAGGGUGCGAGCGUUGUUCGGAAUUAUUGGGCGUAAAGAGCUUGUAGGCGGUUUGUCGCGUCUGCUGUGAAAAUCCGGGACUCAAUUCCGGACCUGCAGUGGGUACGGGCAGACUAGAGUACGGUAGGGGAGACUGGAAUUCCUGGUGUAGCGGUGAAAUGCGCAGAUAUCAGGAGGAACACCGAUGGCGAAGGCAAGUCUCUGGGCCGUAACUGACGCUGAGAAGCGAAAGCAUGGGGAGCGAACAGGAUUAGAUACCCUGGUAGUCCAUGCCGUAAACGUUGGGCGCUA